GGGAACUUUACGGGACCCCAGCGUUUAUUAGAUUUAAACCAAUAUUCCGCAAGGUCUACUGAGAUGAUUCAUGAUAACUGAUCGAAUUGCUGGAACUCUAGCAAUAAAUCAUGUAGGUUUCUGCUUCCCAUCAGCUUGAUGGUAGUGUAUUGGACAACCAUGGCAUUCACGGGCUAUCGGGGGAUUAGGGUUCGAUUCCGGAGAGGGAGCCUGAUAAACGGCUACCACUUCUACGGAAGGCAGCAGGCGCGAAAAUUAUCCAAUCCUGAUUCAGGGAGGUAGUGAAAGAAAUAAUGAACUAGGAUUUAUCCUGGGAUCACAAUGGGCUUGAUUUGCAAACACUUAGCGAGGAACAAUUGGAGGGCAAGUCUGGUGCCAGCAGCCGCGGUAAUUCCAGCUCCAAUAGAGUAUAUAAACGUUCCUGCAGUUAUUCGAUGCUCGUAGUUGGAUUUCUGAGGUUGAGACGGGAGGGUGGCUAUGGCCAUCGCCCGACUCUUUCCUCAUCCACCUGUUUGCGAAGUCCGGGAUUGAUUUCUCGGCUUCGGGCGCAGUAUCUUACCAUUUCAAUAUUCGUAGUCUUCAUCGAUUAUGUUGUUUCUUUGAGCAAAUUAUAGUGUUUCAGGCAGGCGUGCGCCGGAAUACAUUAGCAUGGUAUAAACGAAUUGGACCGUGUGCCCGUAACUGGGCUUCUCCUUAUUGUUGGUUUGAAGGACACGGAGAUGGUUAAUAGGGACAGCGUUUAUUUCACAAGGAGGCAUUAGUAUUUAAUUUCCAGAGGUGAAAUUCUUUGAAAUAUUAAAGACUAACUUAUGCGAAAGCAUCGUUUGCCAAUGAUGUUUUCAUUAAUCAUUGAACGAAAGUUAGGGGAUCAAAGACGAUCAGAUACCGUCCUAGUCUUAACCAUAAACGUUGCCGACUAGGGAUCGGAGGGCGUGCACAAUCCGCCUUCGGCACCUUACGAGAAAUCAAAGUCUUUUGGGUUCUGUGGGUAGUAUGGUCGCAAGGCUGAAACUUAAAGGAAUUGACGGAAGGGCACCACCAGGAGUGGAGCUUGCGGCUCAAUUUGACUCAACACGGGAAAUCUUACCAGGUCCAGACAUAGCGAGGAU
rnacentral:rRNA from 1 species